rnacentral:rRNA from 1 species
AGCGUAGGUGGCGAGAUAAGUUGAAUGUGAAAGCCUGUGGCUUAACCAUAGAACUGCAUUCAAUACUGUUUGGCUAGAGUACGAGAGAGGUAAGCGGAAUUCCUAGUGUAGCGGUUAAAUGCGUAGAUAUUAGGAGGAACACCAGAGGCGAAGGCGGCUUACUGGCUCGAAACUGACACUGAGGCUCGAAAGCGUGGGGAGCAAACA